rnacentral:rRNA from 1 species
GUGGGGAAUUGUUCGCAAUGGGCGCAAGCCUGACGACGCAACGCCGCGUGGAGGAUGAAGAUCUUCGGGUCGUAAACUCCUUUCGAUCGAGACGAAUGGCUUCCGGGUGAACAGUCCGGAAGAAUGACGGUACCGAGAGAAGAAGCCCCGGCUAACUCCGUGCCAGCAGCCGCGGUAAUACGGGGGGGGCAAGCGUUGUUCGGAAUUACUGGGCGUAAAGGGCUCGUAGGCUGCCAACUAAGUCAGACGUGAAAUCCCUCGGCUUAACCGGGGAACUGCGUCUGAUACUGGAUGGCUUGAGUGUGGGAGAGGGAUGCGGAAUUCCAGGUGUAGCGGUGAAAUGCGUAGAUAUCUGGAGGAACACCGGUGGCGAAGGCGGCAUCCUGGACCACUACUGACGCUGAGGAGCGAAAGCCAGGGGAGCAAACGGGAUUAGAUACCCCGGUAGUCC